rnacentral:rRNA from 1 species
AUUGAACGCUGGCGGCAGGCCUAACACAUGCAAGUCGAACGGUAACAGGAAACAGCUUGCUGUUUCGCUGACGAGUGGCGGACGGGUGAGUAAUGUCUGGGAAACUGCCUGAUGGAGGGGGAUAACUACUGGAAACGGUAGCUAAUACCGCAUAACGUCGCAAGACCAAAGAGGGGGACCUUCGGGCCUCUUGCCAUCGGAUGUGCCCCGAUGGGAUUAGCUAGUAGGUGGGGUAACGGCUCACCUAGGCGACGAUCCCUAGCUGGUCUGAGAGGAUGACCGGCCACACUGGAACUGGGACACGGUCCAGACUCCUACGGGAGGCAGCAGUGGGGAAUAUUGCACCAUGGGCGCAAGCCUGAUGCAGCCAUGCCGCGUGUAUGAAGAAGGCCUUCGGGUUGUAAAGUACUUUCAGCGGGGAUGAAGGGAGUAAAGUUAAUACCUUUGCUCAUUGACGUUACCCUCAGAAGAAGCACCGGCUAACUCCGUG